rnacentral:piRNA from 1 species
AUCCCACACAGGAGAAGAGGAGUUGACCCC